rnacentral:lncRNA from 1 species
GAAUCCACGAACUCAAACCUCUCUUCUAUCUUCUUUGGAUCUCGCGCACACCAACGGGUUGUCCACACCCUCACGUUCGAAUCCACGAACGCCACGUCCCGAGUCCACGAAACGCCAACACUUCGAAUCCACGAAGCUUCAACACAUCGAAUCCACGACGCCCACUCAAAUCCUCGAGUGCACUCCGUCCGAAGCAAGAACAAUACGUUCGAUGAUGAUUUAUUGCUUAGAAUUUCAUU